rnacentral:tRNA from 1 species
GGGGAAUUGGUGGAAUUGGUAGACACGACAGGUUCAGGGUCUGUUGCUUCACGGCGUGAGAGUUCGAAUCUCUUAUUCCCCACCA